rnacentral:lncRNA from 12 species
GGGUGGGGGUGGGUGUCUCCUUGAGACUGGGGGUUUUUUGUCUUAAAUUGCAUUUUGGUCAAAAUGGGGACUGGCCCUCCUAAUUUUGAAGAAUUCGAAGUAUUUGCAGGCUGAGCUGGGAUGGGUGGGGGUGGGGACUGGGGACGGUGUUAUCCGCUGGACGCCUUCAGCAAUUGUGAACUGUGCUUCCCUGGAACUCAUUCCCCAGUUAGGGCUCUGUGGGAGCAUUCUGAGUUCCGGAACCUUCCUUGGAGGGCCUGUCUCCUAUCGGCUGUUGGGGACAUGGAGACUCCUGGAUGUAUAAAAAAGGGUUUUCGCUGGGAAUUUACAGUGAUCAAAGUCUUUCCUGAGGUCGGGGACCAUGUUUCAGAGAAGCUGGUGAGUCUGGUCUUCUCCAUCUCGGGGCCGGUCAUUUAAGUGGGCCUGGACCAGGACAAUGCCACAUAGAAAACUGCCACUGAUCUGCGGUCUCCCUCUCUGGAAGCAACCAAGCGAAUGGUUUCUCGGAUAUCCUUCCAGAAAUUUUGUGUGCUUGGGUAAGCGUGUGGGCACACACGAUCAUUUUUAGGCUGUAAAGUGAAAAGAGUAGGUUACAAAGCAGCUUCCAACAGGACGAUCCCAUUUUUAAAACAAUCAGAUCAACAAACAAACAAACGUGCAUAGAAAAUAAUCUGGAAAAAAAAGAAAAUAAUCUAGAAUCAUGUACACCAAAGUAGUAACAGCAGUUAUCUCUAAAAGGCGGGAUCGUGAGUGGGUUUUUGUUUUUUUUGUCUCCUUUUGCUCACGCUGUUUAUAAUUCUAAAAAUGAAUGAAAGGGAGCGUGCACACAUAAGCGAGGGGGUGAAUACGUG